CCUACGGGUGGCAGCAGUAGGGAAUCUUCCACAAUGGGCGAAAGCCUGAUGGAGCAACGCCGCGUGGGUGAAGAAGGUCUUCGGAUCGUAAAACCCUGUUGUUAGAGAAGAAAGUGCGUGAGAGUAACUGUUCACGUUUCGACGGUAUCUAACCAGAAAGCCACGGCUAACUCCGUGCCAGCAGCCGCGGUAAUACGUAGGUGGCAAGCGUUAUCCGGAUUGAUUGGGCGUAAAGGGAACGCAGGCGGUCUUUUAAGUCUGAUGUGAAAGCCUUCGGCUUAACCGGAGUAGUGCAUUGGAAACUGGGAGACUUGAGUGCAGAAGAGGGGAGUGGAACUCCAUGUGUAGCGGUGAAAUGCGUAGAUAUAUGGAAGAACACCAGAGGCGAAAGCGGCUCUCUGGGCUGUAACUGACGCUGAGGUUCGAAAGCGUGGGUAGCAAACAGGAUUAGAUACCCCAGUAGUC
rnacentral:rRNA from 1 species